rnacentral:rRNA from 1 species
GACGAACGCUGGCGGCGUGCUUAACACAUGCAAGUCGAACGGUGAAGGGAUCAGCUUGCUGGUUCUGGAUGAGUGGCGAACGGGUGAGUAACACGUGAGUAACCUGCCCCCUUCUUCUGGAUAACCGCAUGAAAGUGUGGCUAAUACGGGAUAUUCUGCGCCUGCUGCAUGGUGGGUGUGGGAAAGAUAUUGUUUCGGUGGGGGAUGGGCUCGCGGCCUAUCAGCUUGUUGGUGGGGUGAUGGCCUACCAAGGCGGUGACGGGUAGCCGGCCUGAGAGGGUGGACGGUCACACUGGGACUGAGACACGGCCCAGACUCCUACGGGAGGCAGCAGUGGGGAAUAUUGCACAAUGGGCGCAAGCCUGAUGCAGCGACGCCGCGUGAGGGAGGGAGGCCUUCGGGUUGUGAACCUCUUUCGCCAGUGAAGCAGGCCUGUCCCUUGUGGGUGGGUUGACGGUAGCUGGAUAAGAAGCGCCGGCUAACUACGUG